GUAUUCUAGGUAAACUUUGCCAAUAAGUCAGACUUGUGCCAAACACUGAAGCUACUUUCACCUUUUUUAAAUGAAAAUUGUAAAAUUUCCACUGUGAAUGAUAUGAUAAUUGCACAUCUUCACCAUCAGAUCAGUUUUUCAUGUCUUAAUUGUGAAGUAGGCCCACUGCCUUUUUUUGCAUGAGUCACAGUUUAAAAGAUAGAGUGAUAUAACUUCAUUGUUCACUCUUUUUUUAGCUUUCCAUCAACUUUGCAGCCUUGGGGACUGACUCACACUGGGCAAAAGGGAGGCUCGACUGCUCCCAUCACCUCUGCUCCCCUCCCCCCUCUCUUUUUAUGGACCUACCCUCUGAAAAAAGGUCAGGAGGUCAUUCAGUAGUCUAUUGUGCUGUCAGUGAUGGCGAGAGUUAAUAAAAUCUGAGUAUGAAGAGGUCAAUAAUGAGAUUUAAUGAAUUAUAGAUCAUACAUGUUCAUCUUCAGGAGGGUUUUCCUCUCAGUAGCAUCCUCUGUCUGAGUCUGAAUCUGGAAUAAUUCAUUUUCUCUGCUGGGCUCUUGAUCUGAUGAGGUUAUCACUGCCUGUCUACAUAUGCAGUUUUCCCUCUCUUUCAGCCGGAGAGCACCCUUCAUGCCUGCCUGACCCACAAUCUGAUGUCACACAUCUGUCAAGGAACGGAGGCUUGAUAAAGCUUUGAUAAACAACAUGGUUUGUCGUUUCUCCACAGCCUCUCUCUCUCUCUCUCUUUCUCUCACUCUCUCCCUCUCGCUCUCUGACAGCAAGGUCAGCAGUUGUAUUAUGAGAGCAGAUGUGCGUACACCCUGUCCAGCCCCGAGAACAACAAGGGGGACAUUGAUUUUCCUGUAAUAACAUCACUCUGUGUACUGCGGGGACUAAAUUAAUCUCAUAUCUGCUGUAUUAUGACCUGCGCUGAUUGUUCAUUAGGACUAAAGCACAUAGCUGAAAGAUGAGGCAUUGUGUUAGCAUUAGCAUUGUUGUGGGGGAGGUUAGCUGGGGUUCACAGACAGACUCUACCAGAGCACAGUGAUAAGAGCAGACUCAGUCGUACUGUUAUUGGACUCAGUGCUAAGUGGACCCUGGGGGCAGACACUGCACUGAGUCGUUUUCAUACAUCCUGUCUGGGAUCAAUGAGGGAUAUUGAAAUAUGUGUGCAGUUGGUCAGAGGAUGUUUCUGUAAUUUGGGGUAAUGAUGCUUGCUAAAGAGCUGGUCUGGGGUCACAAACAUACACACACCUGAAACGCAGAGCCUCAGGUGUCAGGCGGCUCAUGGUGGACUUCUCAGGACUUUUCUGGUGUGUGCCAGUGGGCGGAGUCAAAUUCCACUUCAGCCACAAUGAAAGCUAGAGUUGUAUUUUCGACAAGUGGUCAAUCAGUGGUUCUAAAAUCAUUUGGAUUGUUCUUUAUUUAAAGUGUUGGGCUGAUUCUGCCCUUAUAUGUAAUCUGAAUAUAAAUGAAAUACUAUGAAUUACCAGGUUCAAAGCCAGGACCAGGCCCAAGGAUCAUUUCUUUGAUCAAAACCAACACAAGACUUAAAGGGAUAUUCAGGCGUAAUACUAAUUUAGGGUAACUCUGAGU
rnacentral:lncRNA from 1 species